GUUACAGAAGUGUUGGUCUUCAGCUCAGCUGCAGCUAUGCCUCUCUCUGGCUUUGAACACUGCUGAUUUUGGACCCCAGCCUGUGGAUUGACUUUCUGACUCAACCUCAGACUUCCUUCAUCACCACAUUUUUGCUAAUGGACUGGGUGCUUGGCUGCCAUCCCCAAACCUGUCCUGCUUGCUGUGCUUGGUUGCUGCAAGGCUGCACUCUGACAGUGAGGCACCUGCCAUGUCAGCUGCGUUGUGCUUGGCUCCUGGCUCCCCAUCUUUCAGAUAUCCUUAAAUCAAAGUCACACAGGGAGGG
ensembl:lncRNA